AGUGGCGCACGGGUGAGUAACAGGGAAUAAUCUACCUCCGAGUGGGGAAUAACUGAGAGAAAUCUUAGCUAAUACCGCAUAACACUUACGAGUCAAAGCAGCAAUGCGCUUGGAGAGGAGUUCGCGGCCGAUUAGUUAGUUGGCGGGGUAAUGGCCCACCAAGACGAUGAUCGGUAUCCGGCCUGAGAGGGCGCACGGACACACUGGAACUGAAACACGGUCCAGACUCCUACGGGAGGCAGCAGUGGGGAAUUUUGCGCAAUGGGGGAAACCCUGACGCAGCAACGCCGCGUGGAGGAUGAAGUAUCUUGGUACGUAAACUCCUUUCGAUUGGGAAGAUAAUGACGGUACCAAUAGAAGAAGCCCCGGCUAACUUCGUGCCAGCAGCCGCGGUAAUACGAGGGGGGCAAGCGUUGUUCGGAUUUAUUGGGCGUAAAGGGUGCGUAGGCGGUUUGGCAAGUCUUAUGUGAAAUCUUCAGGCUCAACCCGAAGUCUGCAUAAGA
rnacentral:rRNA from 1 species